UGAUAUUUUUAAGAUUUAUGUACAUAUGUGUGAAUCUAGGACACUAGACCUAUGCAGCAAGCUUUUACAAGAAAUAGCUUACUCUUGACCAUUUGAUUGCAACCUAUAAAAAGCCAACAGUGUCUCUUAUGAAUGGAAUAGUGAUGGGAGGAGGAGCAGGUCUCUCUAUGCCCACAACAUUUAAGGUUGUCACUGAAAAAGCAGGGAAUAUCUAGGGUUGAGUGGAGCACGUUUGGGUGGAGCAGAAAUAGCUGCAUGUGGUUUAGCCACACACUUUGUUCCUUCAAUAGUAUAAAACUAUCACUUCUUCCUUAAUUAAUAUACUUUGAUAAUAAG